AUACUUGAUUCGGCCUAAAAAAAAAAGAUAUGUGUUUCCGGUAACAUCAUUUUGAAAAAUAGGGUCGGUAGGUCGGAAUUCUUUUUUUUUUUUUUUUUUUUUUCUGACAUCGUAAAUGAAAUCCGGAAAAUUAUCAUGGUUUUUCCAAGUCCGGAUCCGUAAUUAGUUUCAAAAACCGGAAGUGUGCCAUUUGCAAUGUUUUUUGAAGCACCUGCUGUGCAAAUUUCUUGGAUUUUAACCUAUUUGGAAUACCUUUUGACAUUAAUAAAAUGUUUUACUGGCUUUCUAUGCAAGUAGAAGCAAGAGAGAAAAAAUAUUAUGUCAUCUAUCAGAAGCCUGUGUCAAAAACGGGGUCGGUUGAUACAAUUUUUUUUUUUUUUUUUGAAGAUCCAAUAAAAAAGUUAGGGUCGGGGCUAAAAAACAGGGUCGGUCGGGUUACCGGAAACAUCGAUCUUUUUUUUCUCGGCCUUCCCAUAUAUAUGUUGGAUUUUUCAUUAAAAUGCUGAAAAUACAAAUACAUGUUUGUAUGCUGUAUUAAUGCAAUUUUCAUAUUGGAUACAAAUCUUAUUAAGUCUGAUGCAGACAUAAUGUCAAAGCAUACACACUGAGGUAUAUGUACAUGUACUACACAGGCAUCAUCAUUGAGUAAAGGGGAUGGUUGUAAUUUAUUCAUCUCAAUGGUAUGCAUGGUCAAAGAAGAAAACAUGUCCUUCUGUCACGUUUUUUAAUUCAUAGCUUCUCGAUAGUACACAUGUAAAAUGUAAUAUACAUUUCUAAUUCUUCCCAGAAAUUGCAUUUAGCAUCAUCAUGAUCAUGGUUAACAGGGAAAUUAGAAAUACCAUCUCACUUCUACAAAUUUAAGCAUCACAUCCAUAACAUUAUCUACAUUGUAUAAGAAAACCAAAUCACAUUAAAAAAUAUAGCAUCACAUUACCC
rnacentral:lncRNA from 1 species